GAUGAACGCUGGCGGCGUGCCUAACACAUGCAAGUCGAACGGAGUCGUUUAGGAAAAUCCUUCGGGAUUGGAAUUCUCGACUUAGUGGCGGACGGGUGAGUAACGCGUGAGCAAUCUGCCUUUAAGAGGGGGAUAACAGUCGGAAACGGCUGCUAAUACCGCAUAAAGCAUUGAAUUCGCAUGUUUUCGAUGCCAAAGGAGCAAUCCGCUUUUAGAUGAGCUCGCGUCUGAUUAGCUAGUUGGCGGGGUAACGGCCCACCAAGGCGACGAUCAGUAGCCGGACUGAGAGGUUGAACGGCCACAUUGGGACUGAGACACGGCCCAGACUCCUACGGGAGGCAGCAGUGGGGAAUAUUGCGCAAUGGGGGAAACCCUGACGCAGCAACGCCGCGUGAUUGAAGAAGGCCUUCGGGUUGUAAAGAUCUUUAAUCAGGGACGAAAAAUGACGGUAC
rnacentral:rRNA from 1 species